rnacentral:rRNA from 1 species
GAUCCUGGCUCAGAUUGAACGCUGGCGGCAGGCCUAACACAUGCAGGUCGAACGGUAACAGGAAGAAGCUUGCUUCUUUGCUGACGAGUGGCGGACGGGUGAGUAAUGUCUGGGAAACUGCCUGAUGGAGGGGGAUAACUACUGGAAACGGUAGCUAAUACCGCAUAACGUCGCAAGACCAAAAAGGGGGACCUUCGGGCCUCUUGCCAUCGGAUGUGCCCAGAUGGGAUUAGCUAGUAGGUGGGGUAACGGCUCACCUAGGCGACGAUCCCUAGCUGGUCUGAGAGGAUGACCAGCCACACUGGAACUGAGACACGGUCCAGACUCCUACGGGAGGCAGCAGUGGGGAAUAUUGCACAAUGGGCGCAAGCCUGAUGCAGCCAUGCCGCGUGUAUGAAGAGGGCCUUCGGGUUGUAAAGUACUUUCAGCGGGGAGGAAGGGAGUAAAGUUAAUACCUUUGCUCAUUGACGUUACCCGCAGAAGAAGCGCCGGCUAACUCCGUGCCAGCAGCCGCGGUAAUACGGAGGGUGCAAGCGUUAAUCGGAAUUACUGGGCGUAAAGCGCACGCAGGCGGUUUGUUAAGUCAGAUGUGAAAUCCCCGGGCUCAACCUGGGAACUGCAUCUGAUACUGGCAAGCUUGAGUCUCGUAGAGGGGGGUAGAAUUCCAGGUGUAGCGGUGAAAUGCGUAGAGAUCUGGAGGAAUACCGGUGGCGAAGGCGGCCCCCUGGACGAAGACUGACGCUCAGGUGCGAAAGCGUGGGGAGCAAACAGGAUUAGAUACCCUGAUAGUCCACGCCGUAAACGAUGUCGACUUGGAGGUUGUGCCCUUGAGGCGUGGCUUCCGGAGCUAACGCGUUAAGUCGACCGCCUGGGGAGUACGGCCGCAAGGUUAAAACUCAAAUGAAUUGACGGGGGCCCGCACAAGCGGUGGAGCAUGUGGUUU